CGAGGAUCCCAGCCAAGAAAUCUCUUUCUCUCAGGAAGCGGUUACAGUUUGUGUAGAGUUGGCCAAAUCUUUUCGAUUGCUUCUUCCGGUAAAGUAGCGACGUCGAAAAAGUGACCAGAUUGUUUUUAUUCUGUUUUGUUCGAAAAAGGUGUUUUGGAUUAUUGGUGGUGUUCGGCUUUUGACAGAGUAAUCUCCAUAUAAAAAAGGUUUAAAAGAAGGAAUAACUUCAUUUCUUCAAUAACAGAAGCAUCUACCGAAAAGCCACGUAUAAAAGAUACUAGACCAAAGGAUUAAAUACCUGCAUUCAUAAGGAAAUUUAAUCGAUGAAUUAAUUCCAAGCUUCUUUUCCCAGCGACAGAAAGGUUCGUUACAUUUUAUGAUUUUUUCAUAUAACGUAAUGCAGGGAUUUGCAACCA